rnacentral:lncRNA from 1 species
CUCCUGUUGAUCGAGUAUGUGGGUAGACUGUCAGGAUGGACUGUCUUCUCUUCUCUGUGAUCGAGUAGAACUGUGAACUGUCAGGAUGGACUGCUCCUCUUCCUCUAUGAUCGAGUAUAACAGUCUGGAUGGACUGCUCCUCUUCCUCUGCGAUCGAGUAUAACAGUCUGGAUGGACUGCUGAGCUGACUGCUUCCCUC